rnacentral:rRNA from 1 species
AGCUCCACUAGCGUAUAUUAAAAUUGUUGCGGUUAAAACGUUCGAAGUUUAUUCUUGUCCAACACGGGUGCUACUCCUAAUGAUGGCAGUAGGUCACUGGACUGUUGAGACUAUAAGACUGGGUGCCUAUUUGUGGCAUUGAUGCCUUUCAUCGGGUGCAGUGUUUCCACAAGCCCAGCUGCUAUUACCUUGAACAAAUUAGAGUGCUCUAAGCAGGCUAUUUAACGGCCGAGAAUAAUCUUGCAUGGAAUAAUGGAAUAUGACCUCGGUCUUAAUAUUCAUUGGUUUGUAAUCAGAUCAAGAGGUAAUGAUUAACAGAAGUAGUUGGGGGCAUUAGUAUUACGGCGCGAGAGGUGAAAUUCGUAGACCGUCGUAAGACUAACUAAAGCGAAAGCAUUUGCCAUGGAUGCUUUCA